rnacentral:rRNA from 1 species
GGUUUACCGAAUUCAGACAAACUCCGAAUGCCAGAUAUUUAUACACGGGAGUCAGACUGCGAGUGAUAAGAUCCGUAGUCAAAAGGGAAACAGCCCAGACCACCAGCUAAGGUCCCAAAGUAAUCGGUAAGUGGAAAAGGAUGUGGCGUUGCACAGACAACCAGGAUGUUGGCUUAGAAGCAGCCAUCAUUUAAAGAGUGCGUAAUAGCUCACUGGUCGAGUGACGCUGCGCCGAAAAUGUAUCGGGGCUAAACGAUUCACCGAAGCUGUGGAUUGACAUCUACGAUGUCAGUGGUAGGAGAGCGUUCUAAGUGCGUUGAAGUCAGACCGGAAGGACUGGUGGAGCGCUUAGAAGUGAGAAUGCCGGUAUGAGUAGCGAAAGACGGGUGAGAAUCCCGUCCACCGUAUGACUAAGGUUUCCUGAGGAAGGCUCGUCCGCUCAGGGUUAGUCGGGACCUAAGCCGAGGCCGAUAGGCGUAGGCGAUGGACAACAGGUUGAUAUUCCUGUACCACCUCCUCACCGUUUGAGAAAUGGGGGGACGCAGUAGGAUAGGGUAAGCGCGCUGUUGGAUAUGCGCGUCCAAGCAGUAAGGCGUGUGUGUAGGCAAAUCCGCACACUAUAACGUUGAGCUGUGAUGGCGAGUCCGUAUGGACGAAGUUCCUGAUUUCACACUGCCAAGAAAAGCCUCUAUCGAGGUGAGAGGUGCC